AGCAGCCGCGGUAAUUCCAGCUCCAAUAGCGUAUAUUAAAGUUGUUGCAGUUAAAAAGCUCGUAGUUGAAUUUCGGGGUUAAUAAGUUGGUCGUACCUAUGGUAUGUACUGGCUUUAUUGAUUCCUACCUCUUGACGAACUGUGAUGCCAUUAAUUUGGUGUUGCAAGGAAUCAGGACUGUUACCUUGAAAAAUUGAGUGUUUAAAGCAGGCUUACGCUUGAAUACAUUAGCAUGGAAUAAUGAAAUAGGACGUUUGAACCUAUUUUGUGGUUUCUAGGAUCGACGUAAUGAUUAAUAGGGAUAGUUGGGGCAUUAGUAUUCAAUUGUCAGAGGUGAAAUUCUUGGAUUUAUUGAAGUACUAACUACUGCGAAAGCAUUUUGCCAAGGAUGUUUUCAUUAAUCAAGAACGAAGUUAGGGGAUCGAAGACGAUCAGAUACCGUCGUAGUCUUAACCAUAAACUAUAG
rnacentral:rRNA from 1 species